UAGCCGUAAACGAUACUCGCUAGGUGUCGGCCACGGUGCGACCGUUGUCGGUGCCGUAGGGAAGCCGUGAAGCGAGCCACCUGGGAAGUACGGCCGCAAGGCUGAAACUUAAAGGAAUUGGCGGGGGAGCACCACAACGGGUGGAGCUUGCGGUUUAAUUGGAUUCAACGCCGGAAAUCUCACCGGAUAGGACAGACAUAUGAUAGUCGGGCUGAAGACUCUACUUGAUGAUCUGAGAGGAGGUGCAUGGCGUCAGUGACU
rnacentral:rRNA from 1 species